UGUGCGAAUGAAACGUCAUCUAAAGUUCUAUUGUUUAAAACAAAUACUUAUGCAAAGAAGUUCACUAGUUGAGAUGAUGUCCUAACACCGUUCGACAAAAUCAUUGUCACUUUAGUAGAUAUCUGUCCGAGUGAAUGUUACGAAAUCACCGGCGAGUGAGCAUUUGUCGAGUAUAACCUUUUCCGUUUCGGAUUUAAUAAAUGUGUUUUUUUACGAUUACGAGUUCUAUUUUAUCGUGUUAUAUAAUUUUUUUUCCAAUUCAAAAUUCAAAGACGAUACGAAUACUGCUGCUACGAAUAUAAAAAUUUGUUAGGAAGAGGCGGCAAGAUGUUGGCAUAGUUGUGAGUAAUAAUGACACAGCUAUGCUACAUUUAGCCAUUUUUUCUUAACUGUUGAACGACGUGUGCGAUUGGAUUUCAAAUACCUGACCUAUGAUCAGUCAGCGAAUAUUUUAUAUAAGUUUUACUGUGCGGAUUUUAUUUGUCAAGUGAUAAUUUGUACCUAUUUUUCACAAUACAAUUAAUUCAAAAAAAUUAUGAAAAAAGUGUAAAGUAGAAAUAAAAUAGAUACCUACUUAGUAAAAUAAUCACCAAUAACAACUACCUAUUAAUUGAAACCUAUAUUAUGGAAAUUGGAAAUAUAUUGUUUUUUUCAACUUUGACAAAAUCAUGCAGAAGAAAUACUGGACUAAGCUAGAAUAUUUUUUAGAGAUCAUCUUCAGCUAAUAUAAAUUAAAAAGGUGUAGGUAAAUCGUUGGCUUAUUUUGGUAUGUACUGUCAUGAGCCCGAGGUAUGUUUCAUAUUUCUUAUGUAAGUUACUAAAUAAUUGCAAUGUAAAUAAAUGUUCUAUUUAAAUAUAUAGAUUAAAUGCAGCGUA